rnacentral:tRNA from 1 species
GCUCUCGUCGUUCAACGGAUAGGACAUAGCGUUGCGGACGCUAAGAUAGAGGUUCGAUUCCUCUCGAGAGCACCA